rnacentral:piRNA from 1 species
UAGCCAUGUUAUCAAGCUGUUUAGAAAGGA